ACUCUCCAGUUCUCUUUCCCAUCAGAUCUGAACACCAACCGGUCUUGGUGGUUGUAAAAGAAGGGAAAGUAACACUGAAGUUGGCCUCACAGUUCUGUACUGUGUGGGCUAGUUUCAAACAAGG